UUUUUUGUCGUUAUCGAACGCCAUCCAGUAAAAAUUUGGAAAACUAUUACAAAUUUUUGACUUGUCGAACGCACCUAAUAUCUCGAAAUCUUCGAAAUCUCUCGCUGCCGCUGCAGCAAUAAGUGUGGUUGCAAUAUAUUGGCCAUUAGCUCCAGCUACAUGUAGAGCAUGUUAAACAUUUUUUUAUUUGUAUAUGUAGAGCAUCUGACAGCCCACUUUCGUACAUAAAUAGAAAAUAUAAAACAUGACGAGGGACUUGAAAUUGAAGAUGAUCAAGAGAACACAACGUUGGAAACUGAGAACAUGAAGCUAAAACAUGGAUUAGCAAUUCUGAAUAAGGCUAUUGUAGCAGAACAAAACGCCUCAACCACUUCUGUUUUUGGUAAAUAUGUACCAGCGAUACUGCCCACCGCCGUCGGUGCCUCACACGCCAUAUCCUGGGAAUUCCUACAGCUUGCCUACACCAGCUAUUAUAUCACGUGUGAAUGCAACUGCGGCUAAAUUUUGUUAUUAUCAGUGCAAUCGUGCCAUGUCAUUGGCAAAAACACUAAAGGCUGCUGGCACAAAUAAAUCGCCCAGAGAUAUGGCCAACGAAAUAAAUAAACAUGGUGUUCAAUCGCUACUUGUGGCUUAAAUUGAGGUUGCAAGUGCUCGCUUCAUUAAUGUGUUUCUCAAAAGGAUUAUGCUGUUCGUGUGAUUUCCAACCUCUUACGGUCUGGCGUUAACCUGCCAACUUGCCGCAAGCAACGUAUCUCAUAUAGGUGCACGUUAGUCAUUUACGUUCGACUAUUAUUGGAGAGUCCAUUUGUCGUUUGUUGGAGUUUCUGGGGCACGAUAAUCGCACGCCCUAAUCAAGGCUAUCACAGAAUCCAUCAUAGUCCGAUUUUUCGUGAAAUCUACGAAAAUGCUAUUGAAUUCAAGUAGCUACGAGCGCAGCGUAUGCUUUGAAUAUACACAUUCGUAGCAGUUCAGAUUCAGUGAUCGCUUUUUCGUAGAUUUUAUGAAAAAUCGGACUACGAUGAAUUCCGUAAUAGCCACCAACAUGUAUUCUACUUUGACAAGAUGUUGGAGAAUCGCGGCAACACAACCGUAUACCUAUUCCAUGCUUUUACGCGCAUAGGCUAAAUUUCACGCACCUAGCUUAAGUGCUUGACAAAGGCUGAAGGCAUAUCUUCACCAUAAUAACUUAAAGUAAAAAAGUUGAAGGCAUGCAAUAAAAGCAUACAA